rnacentral:rRNA from 1 species
AGCAGCCGCGGUAAUUCCAGCUCCAAUAGCGUAUAUUAAAGUUGUUGCAGUUAAAAAGCUCGUAGUUGAAUUUCGGGACCAAUUUGUUGGUCGUGCCUCGGUACGUACUGGUAUUAUUGGUUUCUCCCUUCUGAAGAACCUCGAUGCCAUUAAUUUGGUGUCGUGGGGAAUCAGGACUGUUACUUUGAAAAAUUAGAGUGUUUAAAGCAGGCAUACGCUUGAAUACAUUAGCAUGGAAUAAUGAAAUAGGACGUUUGAUUCUAUUUUGUUGGUUUCUAGGAUCGACGUAAUGAUUAAUAGGGAUAGUUGGGGGCAUUAGUAUUCAAUUGUCAGAGGUGAAAUUCUUGGAUUUAUUGAAGACUAACUACUGCGAAAGCAUUUGCCAAGGAUGUUUUCAUUAAUCAAGAACGAAAGUUAGGGGAUCGAAGACGAUCAGAUACCGUCGUAGUCUUAACCAUAAACUAUGCCGACUAGGGAUCGGAUGAUGUUAAUUUUUUAAUGUACUCA